CCCGGAGUGUUGUAAUGGUAUCAUCCUCGUAGUUGACGCUUGGCCAUGGCCAUGCCCUUCGGGGGCCCGGGGGAUCUGGGUUCGAAUCCCGGCUCCGGGA